rnacentral:misc_RNA from 1 species
AUGAGAACUUGCCCUUCGGGGUAGAUCUCCCACCCUUUGUAUACUAUACCUUUGUUGCUUUGCCAGGCCCGACCCUCGGGACCGCCGGCUCCGGCUGGCCAGCGCCUGGCAGAGAUCUAAAACUCUAUAUAAAUGUCGUCAGAGUACUAUAAAAUAGUUA